rnacentral:lncRNA from 1 species
UGGCGAAGGCAGAAAAAAAUUCAUGGUGUGGCGGAGCUGAUAAAACAUAUAAAUGGUACAACACUAAAGUACAUAGUAGUCGACAACAUCAAGAUUUCUUUCAAGCUCAAAUUGCAAUUUGAAUUGCGAAACAUUGCACUGUAUAUUUCUUCUACUUGAGACCAUCUCUAUUCCUUGUUUGCCGCGGCCUCGUCUCGGCGGCAGUUGACCGCUGUCCUCACAUGAUCAGAAUCAUAAGGCUUUUUAGGGAAUCGACAAGAGGUGGCAAGUCGCGUACGUGCAUGCAUGCUGCCGGUUGUAUCGUA